GACGAACGCNGGCGGCGUGCUUAACACAUGCAAGUCGAACGGGAACCUUUAUUUCGGUAAAGGUGAGAGUGGCAAACGGGUGAGUAACACGUAGGCAACCUGCCGACAGGAUGGGGACAACAUUCCGAAAGGAAUGCUAAUACCGAAUGAAGUCACCGGAGGGCAUCCUCUGGUGAUGAAAGAUGGCCUCUGAAUAUGCUAUCACCUGUCGAUGGGCCUGCGUCUGAUUAGCCAGUUGGCGGGGUAACGGCCCACCAAAGCGACGAUCAGUAGCCGGUCUGAGAGGAUGAACGGCCACAUUGGGACUGAGACACGGCCCAGACUCCUACGGGAGGCAGCAGUGGGGAAUCUUCCACAAUGGGCGAAAGCCUGAUGGAGCAACGCCGCGUGAGUGAAGAAGGUCUUCGGAUCGUAAAGCUCUGUUGCACGGGACGAAAACUGGGUUNGAGAACAUNGAACCNGGGNGACG
rnacentral:rRNA from 1 species